rnacentral:snoRNA from 1 species
UGCAGAUGAUGCUAACUUUUUUGCUGUUUAAACACACUUGAUGACGACCACCAAGAUCGCUGAUGCA